GUCCCAGUCAGUAACACUCUGGGAGGGCUCAGGCCACAUCACGAAAUGUGACAGGAUAGCCUUGAACUCAUCAAUUGCUGGGGGCACCUCAAACUCAACUCCAAAAUUGAUCUAAUGAACUUUCCCAAACCACAUUCCCUUCUUGCAUUUCUGAGAGAAUGGAUUCCCAUUCAUCUGACUACAGUGCUACCCUGAAAGCAGAUCCAGAGACUAAGAUUCACCUGCAGGUGAUUCAUUUGCAAGGUAAGCUGUCAUCAGUUGGAGGUAAGCGGAAGACAGUAGAGAGUACAGAGCCCUGGACUGUGACUCAGAGGAUGAGCACCAGAUCCAGUUUGCUGUGCCACAGUGCCUUCUCCAAAGUCACUCACAGAAGGCAUCCCACUCAACCUCACCUUGGGGUAAAUCAAAAUAGUCCUCCUUCUGAAGCUACCGGGUAAAGCGGUGGUAGCUGUGCAGCUGCUGCUGAUCAACAGGCUCCAGAAACAGCAGCAGGAGGUCUUUGCUGCACUAUAUUCCAGUCCUGAAGAUUUUCCUCAGAUAAUCUUUCAUCUCUUUGUUCCUGAGACUAUAUAUUAGAGGAUUACAGAGUGGUGUUAUCACAGAAAAGAACAAGUGGAUUUUUAUCUGAGAUCUACAACUUAUGAAGAAUACAAAUGAUGUAUAUUCUUUUCUACUCUUCAUGUAUGGACUAGAGGGGCUUGCACAUAAGAAAAAAAUGGCUGAGACCCACAGGAACAAAGAAACAGGACAGGAGUUAGAUGCAGAGAAGAGAUUUCAACAAAAGUUUGGAAAAGAUGCUAACGGUAGCAUAUGAGUCACAGACAGAACAUUGGCACCUUUGUUUAAGAAACUGAAUGUUAAUGUCACAUCUGCCUUUGGAGAUUACAAAUGAAAUGGCUACCUUUCUACUGGAACCCUGACCAGAAGUCUGCCAGUUAGUAAGCUGGCUUAAGAGAUCAAUCUAAAAUUUACAUAAGGCUUUUGAAAAAAAGAAAAAAACUCAAGAGAAUUGACAUCUGGUGUUAAAAAACAAAAAAUCAUACAAAUGACUGAUAUGUAUCAUUUUCCUUAUUAAAUAUGGAAGAAAGGGGAGGAGGAUGCAGAAAUGGUUGGCUAAAAGCUCCAGAGAAAAACUUAACAGAUUUUAUGAUUUUGCGGAAGUGUGUCAUCAUGGCCAGAAACUGAUCAAUCCACGAAUUAGCUGAAAUGGCAAGAACGAUUAGAGAUACAGUGAGGAGGGUAUGGUACAGAGUUUUGACAGAACUUUCUCUACUAAUUUGGCUAAAAUAGAACACUUU
rnacentral:lncRNA from 1 species